ensembl:lncRNA
GAGAAGGGAGAAGCUGGAGGAUAGUGCACUUGAGGCUGGAAUGGACGGAGAGGCUUUAAAGGAGGGUGAGAAGUGUGGCUGCCCUUCCCAAGGAGGCAGAGUGGAUAUGGGGAAACCACCACCUGUGACCGCCUCAUUCACUGCCCAGCUCUGAAGGAUUCAAGCACCGGGUCCACACCGAGCAGAGCUCCAGCUUCAAAUCCAGUGAGGCUCAGCUCCUUGCGACUCCCAGCAGGAGCAGCAGGUAUGAUCAGUCCAUACCAACCCAGUGGAGCUGGGCCCGUGGCACUGCUGCACACCAGAGCUGUGUUGGCAAAGCUGCUGCUGCCCAUGUCUGCAGCCUGCCCUGCGUUGGGACCCCGCUGAGGUUGGGGCUGACAGGUGGGGUGAGGAGGAAGAUGGCGCAGAUGGGGGAGGAGCUGUCACCAGAUGGUGGUGAAUGGAUGCAUCCAAACACAAACAAAUCACCCUCCAGCUGAAGAGGCAGGCAGAGAGAGCUGGAAGCAUGGGGAGGAUUUAUUUUUAACUCUGCAGAGUAUUAAAUAACAUGUCCUGGAACGCAUGUGAAUGAGAGCAG